rnacentral:rRNA from 1 species
CCUACGGGUGGCAGCAGUGGGGAAUAUUGCACAAUGGGGGGAACCCUGAUGCAGCAAUGCCGCGUGGGUGAAGAAGCACUCCGGUGCGUAAAGCCCUUUCAGCAGGGAAGAAAAUGACAGUACCUGACCAAGAAGCCCCGUCUAACUACGUGCCAGCAGCCGCGGUAAUACGUAGGGGGCAAGCGUUAUCCGGAUUUACUGGGUGUAAAGGGAGCGCAGACGGCUGUGCAAGUCUGGAGUGAAAGGCGGGGGCCCAACCCCCGGACUGCUCUGGAAACUGUAAAGCUGGAGUGCAGGAGAGGUAAGCGGAAUUCCUGGUGUAGCGGUGAAAUGCGUAGAUAUUAGGAGGAACACCAGUGGCGAAGGCGGCUUACUGGACUGCAACUGACGUUGAGGCUCGAAAGCGUGGGGAGCAAACAGGAUUAGAUACCCCUGUAGUC